rnacentral:rRNA from 1 species
UAGGGAAUCUUCCGCAAUGGACGCAAGUCUGACGGAGCAACGCCGCGUGAGUGAAGAAGGUUUUCGGAUCGUAAAACUCUGUUGUUAGAGAAGAACAAGUGCUAGAGUAACUGUUAGCGCCUUGACGGUAUCUAACCAGAAAGCCACGGCUAACUACGUGCCAGCAGCCGCGGUAAUACGUAGGUGGCAAGCGUUGUCCGGAUUUAUUGGGCGUAAAGCGAGCGCAGGCGGUUAGAUAAGUCUGAAGUUAAAGGCUGUGGCUUAACCAUAGUACGCUUUGGAAACUGUUUAACUUGAGUGCAAGAGGGGAGAGUGGAAUUCCAUGUGUAGCGGUGAAAUGCGUAGAUAUAUGGAGGAACACCGGUGGCGAAAGCGGCUCUCUGGCUUGUAACUGACGCUGAGGCUCGAAAGCGUGGGGAGCAAACAGGAUUAGAUACCCUGGUAGUCCACGCCGUAACGAUGAGUGCUAGGUGUUAGACCCUUUCCGGGGUUUAGUGUCGCAGCUAACGCAUUAAGCACUCCGCCUGGGGAGUACGACCGCAAGGUU